GGGGGUAUAGCUCAGUUGGGAGAGCACCUGCCUUGCACGCAGGGGGUCAAGGGUUCGAAUCCCUUUACCUCCA
rnacentral:tRNA from 1 species